rnacentral:rRNA from 1 species
GAUGAACGCUGGCGGCGUGCCUAAUACAUGCCAGUCGAGCGAACAGAUGAGGAGCUUGCUCCUCUGACGUUAGCGGCGGACGGGUGAGUAACACGUGGAUAACCUACCUAUAAGACUGGGAUAACUUCGGGAAACCGGAGCUAAUACCGGAUAAUAUAUUGAACCGCAUGGUUCAAUAGUGAAAGACGGUCUUGCUGUCACUUAUAGAUGGAUCCGCGCCGCAUUAGCUAGUUGGUAAGGUAACGGCUUACCAAGGCAACGAUGCGUAGCCGACCUGAGAGGGUGAUCGGCCACACUGGAACUGAGACACGGUCCAGACUCCUACGGGAGGCAGCAGUAGGGAAUCUUCCGCAAUGGGCGAAAGCCUGACGGAGCAACGCCGCGUGAGUGAUGAAGGUCUUCGGAUCGUAAAACUCUGUUAUUAGGGAAGAACAAAUGUGUAAGUAACUAUGCACGUCUUGACGGUACCUAAUCAGAAAGCCACGGCUAACUACGUG